AUUGAACGCUGGCGGCAUGCCUUACACAUGCAAGUCGAACGGCAGCACGGGUGCUUGCACCUGGUGGCGAGUGGCGAACGGGUGAGUAAUACAUCGGAACAUGUCCUGUAGUGGGGGAUAGCCCGGCGAAAGCCGGAUUAAUACCGCAUACGAUCCACGGAUGAAAGCGGGGGACCUUCGGGCCUCGCGCUAUAGGGUUGGCCGAUGGCUGAUUAGCUAGUUGGUGGGGUAAAGGCCUACCAAGGCGACGAUCAGUAGCUGGUCUGAGAGGACGACCAGCCACACUGGGACUGAGACACGGCCCAGACUCCUACGGGAGGCAGCAGUGGGGAAUUUUGGACAAUGGGCGAAAGCCUGAUCCAGCAAUGCCGCGUGUGUGAAGAAGGACUUCGGGUUGUAAAGCACUUUUGUCCGGAAAGAAAUCCUUGACCCUAAUACAGUCGGGGGAUGACGGUACCGGAAGAAUAAGCACCGGCUAACUACGUG
rnacentral:rRNA from 1 species